AUUGAACGCUGGCGGCAGGCCUAACACAUGCAAGUCGAACGGAUCCUUCGGGAUUAGUGGCGGACGGGUGAGUAACACGUGGGAACGUGCCCUUUGGUUCGGAACAACUCAGGGAAACUUGAGCUAAUACCGGAUGUGCCCUUCGGGGGAAAGAUUUAUCGCCAUUGGAGCGGCCCGCGUCUGAUUAGCUAGUUGGUGAGGUAAAGGCUCACCAAGGCGACGAUCAGUAGCUGGUCUGAGAGGCUGAUAAGCCACAUUGGGACUGGGACACGGCCCAAACUCCUACGGGAGGCAGCAGUGGGGAAUCUUGCGCAAUGGGCGAAAGCCUGACGCAGCCAUGCCGCGUGAAUGAUGAAGGUCUUAGGAUUGUAAAAUUCUUUCACCGGGGACGAUAAUGACGGUACCCGGAGAAGAAGCCCCGGCUAACUUCGUGCCAGCCGCCGCCGUAACAC
rnacentral:rRNA from 1 species